rnacentral:rRNA from 1 species
GAUGAACGCUGGCGGCGUGCCUAAUACAUGCAAGUCGAGCGAACGGACGAGAAGCUUGCUUCUCUGAUGUUAGCGGCGGACGGGUGAGUAACACGUGGAUAACCUACCUAUAAGACUGGGAUAACUUCGGGAAACCGUAGCUAAUACCGGAUAAUAUUUUGAACCGCAUGGUUCAAAAGUGAAAGACGGUCUUGCUGUCACUUAUAGAUGGAUCCGCGCUGCAUUAGCUAGUUGGUAAGGUAACGGCUUACCAAGGCAACGAUGCAUAGCCGACCUGAGAGGGUGAUCGGCCACACGGGAACUGAGACACGGUCCAGACUCCUACGGGAGGCAGCAGUAGGGAAUCUUCCGCAAUGGGCGAAAGCCUGACGGAGCAACGCCGCGUGAGUGAUGAAGGUCUUCGGAUCGUAAAACUCUGUUAUUAGGGAAGAACAUAUGUGUAAGUAACUGUGCACAUCUUGACGGUACCUAAGCAGAAAGCCACGGCUAACUACGU